UCCUACGGGAGGCAGCAGUGAGGAAUAUUGGUCAGUGGACGCAAGUCUGAACCAGCCACGUCGCGUGAAGGAAGACGGCCCUACGGGUUGUAAACUUCUUUUGUAAGGGAAUAAGUGCAGUACGUGUACUGUUUUGCAUGUACCUUACGAAUAAGGAUCGGCUAACUCCGUGCCAGCAGCCGCGGUAAUA
rnacentral:rRNA from 1 species